CUGCAGACUGUCACUUCCCGAGCGUGUUGUCCAGAUCGAGCAAAGGUAUUGCUAUCACUGGCUAGCCCAAGAUACGCUUGCAUCCAUGGUUUUCUCAGCUCACGGAAAGAGGUCAACUCGAAGCCACUACAUCCUUCGUCCUCCCUGUGUCCACGUUUAAGUGUCCAGCUGCUGCAAGAA